CAGCCACAUCAUGUUGAAACACUGGUCCCCAUAUGAUCACCAAAGUGAAGCAACAGUGAGUCUUCUCAGUAUCCAGAUGGGUGACCACUUGGGAAUACCAAGAGUUGUAAG